UACCAGCACCCCGAGUGGUCGGGACGUUUUAUUGGGCCUAAAGCAUCCGUAGCCGGUUCUACAAGUCUUCCGUUAAAUCCACCUGCUUAACAGAUGGGCUGCGGAAGAUACUAUAGAGCUAGGAGGCGGGAGAGGCAAGCGGUACUCGAUGGGUAGGGGUAAAAUCCGUUGAUCCAUUGAAGACCACCAGUGGCGAAGGCGGCUUGCCAGAACGCGCUCGACGGUGAGGGAUGAAAGCUGGGGGAGCAAACCGGG
rnacentral:rRNA from 1 species